AGAGUUUGAUCCUGGGCUCAGGAUGAACGCUAGCGGCAGGCCUAAUACAUGCAAGUCGAACGGGUAAAUGUCCCUUCGGGGACAUGAGAGUGGCGCACGGGUGCGUAACGCGUAUGCAACCCACCCGCUGUCGGGGGAUAGCCCGUAGAAAUGCGAAUUAAUACCCCAUGAGGAGUCGUUGAGGCAUCUCGACGAUUUCAAAACUUCGGUGACGGCGGACGGGCAUGCGUGCCAUUAGAUGGUUGGCGGGGUAACGGGCCCACCCAAGUCGACGAUGGCUAGGGGAUCUGAGAGGACGGUCCCCCACACUGGUACUGAGACACGGACCAGACUCCUACGGGAGGCAGCAGUAAGGGAUAUUGGUCAAUGGGGGAACCCUGAACCAGCCAUGCCGCGUGAGGGAGGAAGGCCCUACGGGUCGUAAACCUCUUUUGCCGGGGAUAAAGACGUCCACGUGUGGAUGUUUGAAGGUACCCGGAGAAUAAGCAUCGGCUAACUCCGUGCC
rnacentral:rRNA from 1 species